rnacentral:rRNA from 1 species
GGCUGAAAUUCGCCUUCAUGAAGCCGGAAUUGCUAGUAAUGGCAGGUCAGCAUACUGCCGUGAAUACGUUCCCGGGCCUUGUACACACCGCCCGUCACACCAUGAGAGUUGGAAAUACCCGAAGCCUGUGAGCUAACUUAAAGAGGCAGCAGUCGAAGGUAGAGCCAAUGAUUGGGGUGAAGUCGUAACAAGGUAAC